rnacentral:pre_miRNA from 1 species
UCUUAUGGAUCAGCAAAGAAAGUGUUUUCUUGGGACAGAAACUACUCCUGGUGUAGAUACUGUGAA